rnacentral:lncRNA from 1 species
AGCCUACAGGAUCUCCUUUACAAACUGGUUCCACGGUCUCUGCAGAUAUCUCCACACCACGCUGUGCUCAACCCGACUCCUGGGCUCACUUGGUCAUGGUGACAGCAUGUGCCUUGGAUAGGUACAGACCCCACCCCAGGGCACAGCUCCUCAGUGCUAGAGAAGAAUAAAAUUUCUUGGUUGCCAAGUGCACAUGGAGUGUUGGAAGAUCCAUGGGAUGCGUCGUGCAGAGCUGACUGAUGGGGCACCUGCCUUUCAGAGGAUACCUGUUUGCUACCAGGCUCUUACUCUAGAGGAAGACAGAGCCCUUGGCAUAGCUGGGGUGUCUGCUGUGCCUGUGGGUAGAGCACCUGCCGAGUGCUAGUGGCUGGGUGGUGGAGAUGCGGCACUGGAAAUUCCAUCUGCAGAAUGAACAGCUCCUUCAAGUUCCAAAUCCAUCUAUAGACAUUGGCCACAUACACAUCAGUGCAUAAGGUCAUCAUCGACUGCUAUCUUUCCUCCAUCGACUCAGUCCCCAAAAGUCAUAAUGCCCUUCCCUUUGAUGGUCAAAACAUAAAAUGGACUCAACACUGGAACGAGGUUCUACUGCACACAAUGAACAUGGUCCAACUGUGCACAAGGAACUUGAGUUUUCUUGUGGAACUUUUUGCAAAAUGUUUCAUAAGCUUCGGCUUCCAAGGAAUACUGUUGGAUCAGAGAGACAUGGCAACCAAAUGUGGGCAUGGGAAACUUCAGGGUCCUGAAAGGCAAGGAAAUUGAGCAACUAUAAGAAUCGUUCUUGUGCAACUGGAGAAUAUGA